GAUGAACGCUGGCGGCGUGCCUAAUACAUGCAAGUCGAGCGAACAGAUGAGGAGCUUGCUCUUCUGACGUUAGCGGCGGACGGGUGAGUAACACGUGGAUAACCCACCUAUAAGACUGGGAUAACUUCGGGAAACCGUAGCUAAUACCGGAUAAUAUACUGAACCGCAUGGUUCAAUAGUGAAAGACGGUUUUGCUGUCACUUAUAGAUGGAUCCGCGCCGCAUUAGCUAGUUGGUAAGGUAACGGCUUACCAAGGCAACGAUGCGUAGCCGACCUGAGAGGCGGAUAGGCCACACUGGAGCUGAGACGCGCUCCAGGCUCCUACGGGAGGCAGCAGAAGGGAAUCUUCGGCAGUGGGCGGAAGCCUGGCGGAGCGGCGCCGCGUGAGUGAUAGAGGUCUUCGGAUCGUAAAACUCUGUUAUUGGGGAAAAACAAAUGUGUAAGUAACUAUGCACGUCUUGACGGUACCUGAUCAGAAAGCCACGGCUAACUACGUG
rnacentral:rRNA from 1 species